UGCAGUCGAGCGAUGAUGCCGAGCUUGCUGGGUGGAUUAGUGGCGACGGGUGAGUACACGUGAGUAACCUGCCCCUGACUUCGGGAUAAGCGCUGGAAACGGCGUCUAAUACCGGAUACGAGCUUUCACCGCAUGGUGGUUGUUGGAAAGUUUUUCGGUCAGGGAUGGGCUCGCGGCCUAUCAGCUUGUUGGUGGGGUGAUGGCCUACCAAGGCGACGACGGGUAGCCGGCCUGAGAGGGCGACCGGCCACACUGGGACUGAGACACGGCCCAGACUCCUACGGGAGGCAGCAGUGGGGAAUAUUGCACAAUGGGCGAAAGCCUGAUGCAGCGACGCCGCGUGAGGGAUGACGGCCUUCGGGUUGUAACCUCUUUCAGCAGGGAAGAAGCGCAAGUGACGGUACCUGCAGAAGAAGCGCCGGCUGACUACGUGCCAGCAGCCGCGGUAAUACGUAGGGCGCACGCGUUGUCCGGAAUUAUUGGGCGUAAGAGCUCGUAKGCGGUUUGUCGCGUCUGGUGUGAAA
rnacentral:rRNA from 1 species